UUUCGUAGACCUACAAUAAAGUCUAUUUAUCUGAAGAUGUCUUUUUCAGUCUAUAUUUUUCAAUUUGUUUUACAAAAAAUCAUUAUAUUUAAACUAAGUCAAGUUUCUUAAGAAUAAAAAAGUGAAAUAAUAUACUAUAACUAUUAAAAAUAAAGAAAUAAAUUUAAUAAAUCAUAUAUUAAAAUUAUUAAAAUAAUAAAGAAUAAACAACAAUAAUGAAAUUAUUAUAGUAGAUUUCCAAAAAGGUCUACUAUGUUACAGUAAAAUCUACUCCAAAAUUUUAAU
rnacentral:lncRNA from 1 species